UCAGACGAUGCGUCAUGCAUAUCAAUAAGCGGAGGAAAAGAAACUAACAAGGAUUCCCCUAGUAAUGGCGAGUGAAGCGGGAAGAGCUCAAAUUUGAAAUCUUAAAGGGUUUCCCUUUACGAAUUGUAGUUUAAAGAAGUGUUUUCUGUUGAGGUUUUGGUAAAAGUUCUUUGGAAUAGGACAUCAUAGAGGGUGAGAAUCCCGUAUUUGACCUUUACUUUCAACUUUGUGAUACACUUUCAAAGAGUCGGAUUGUUUGGGAAUGCAGUCCAAAAUGGGUGGUAAAUUUCAUCUAAAGCUAAAUAUUGGCGAGAGACCGAUAGCGAACAAGUACCGUGAGGGAAAGAUGAAAAGAACUUUGAAACGAGAGUUAAACAGUACGUGAAAUUGUCAAAAGGGAAGCGUUUGACACCAGUGUUGUUUUUCUGAAAAUCAAUUAAAGAACUGUUUAUGCUAAGCUGUUUAGACUUUAUCAGCUAUCUGUUUAGUUUUGAGCUUUUCUUUAAUGCACUUUUCAGUUAACAAGUCAACAUCAAUUUCUUUUGCUGUAAAAAAGCUUGAGGAAGGUGGCUUGAGAUUCGUCUUAAGUGUUUAUAGCCUCUUGCCUAUGCAGUCGGAGAGAUUGAGGUCUGCAGCGUAGAUCCUUCGGGGCUAAAUGCAUUUGUGCUAAGUUAUAGCAUUUUAUAGACAACUUGUUGACUAUGAUUUGUCUUGUAGCUUACUCGCUUAUGUUAUUUUACCUACGCUUAGGAUGUUGACACACGCGCGUGCUCG
rnacentral:rRNA from 1 species